CAGACUCUGUUCUCACACACUGUCACAGACUCUGUUCUCACACACUGUCACAGACUCUCUCACGGCUGCAAUCACUGCUGUCCGUUGCUCUUUCCAAACACAGGAACAGGAACAGGGACAGGAGCAGAAUGACUGUGCUUUAGCCUGGCGGAGGGGAAGGUUUCCCUCACUGGGCAGUGAACAGACUGAGGACACACUGGGACUACUAUACAGUCCUACUGUACCACUACCACCCUCAUGAGGAAUGAAGUGACAGGAGAGAGCAGCCAGCAGGACAGAGGUUGGUUCCACUUCACCCUGCCGUCUGUACCCACAGCCUGUAGCUGAGGCAAGUAGUGACAUGAGAAGACAGGGAGCUGUAACUCUCUCCUUCAGACAGAUACUGCCGCUGUAGCUAUAUCUAUAUGAUAUGGGUAACAGGCUAUCCCAUGAAGACAUCUUCCCUGCUGAGCUGGAUGCACUAUGGAGGGAACCACCGUACACGCUAGCAGGAGCCAAUGAGCACUUCCCAGGAAAUGAUCUUCUGA